GGGGAUUUAGCUCAGUGGUAGAGCGCUUACCUAGGAAGCGCAAGGCCCUGGGUUCGGUCCCCAGCUCCCCA
rfam:Rattus norvegicus chromosome 12, whole genome shotgun sequence.